ensembl:lncRNA
UUUUAUAAGGCACGGCUGUCUCCUAACCUCUGCCUGCCACCUGAAGAUGGGUCAUCACCCCAGUGGUUGAUGGGUCAAUGGGUCAUCACCCCGGUGGUUGGUGGGUCAAUGGGUCAUCACCCCGGUGGUUGAUGGGUCAAUGGGUCAUCACCCCGGUGGUUGAUGAGUUAUAGGUCAAACCCGAGAGCAACACCAACCACCAGCAGUCAGCAGUAUUUCCUGCAGGACACAGCCUUUUCCUGAUGAUCUCCUGUCCAGAGUGGUGCUGGCCCUGCUCUGCUCACCCCAUGAGCCUACCCAGGGUCAGUGUGUGGCUCUUUGUACUGCUGCAGUUUGCUUGGGAAGAUGUUGCUCUGCAUCAAUUGGGUGCAACAAAAGCAGCUCGGGUCCUUCCUGAAGCCACGAAUCCCUUGGCUUUCUCUCCUCAUUUGGCAGGAUGGAAAAGGCAGAUAAGCCUUUACUUGCAAUAUUUCUGCAUCAGACCCCAGCAUAAGACCCAGAAAGCAGCAUCAGACCAGACCACAGAGGUGUGACUCAGUGAUUCUCCACCUGCUAUGGGCAGAGAAUCUACCUACAAGUGCUCCCGUUGCCCACGGGUGGCUUCUGUUCAAUGAAACACCAGGGCUGCGCUAUUGCAAUCUGCUCUCACACCUCUGCUGGUGCUGAAGUUGGAAGCCCGGACGGAACCCUGGGCUCCAUCUGCCUGCAGACCCCCAGGCUCUGUUCCCAGAUGUGUGGUGGAAUCCCACAUAGCGAGGCCUGGCCGUGGCUUCCACGCUUGGCUGCACAGCACAGUGAUCUCCAGCAACGGUGUGAAUUUCUCUAACACGUUUCCGUGUCAGGGCUGGCUUGUUUUCAUGCUGCCAGCUGGGGAACGAGCCACGAGACACGUGCUGUUGGGACACAGGUGCUGCCAGAUCGAAUCACAGCACUGCUUCAUUACCAGGCUGGGAUGCUGGACCACAGCAGAAAGCCCCCAGGGAAGAUCUCCUGCUCUCCAUCUGACAGAUGCUUCCAUCUAAUGCAGGCUUUCUUCCCUCCUGCUACGUUUGCAAGCGCGUCUGCCGUCAUUCUGGAUGCUCCCUAUAAGUAUACGAAUUGUACCUCCUUUUAACACCUCUAAAUAAGGCCUGGUUUCCAAAUGCCCACUCUGUUCUGCUGCUCCUCUCCGCUUCCACUCCUCCCUGCUGCAGAGCCUGGAAACGACGGGAUGGAAGGAGCUCCGCAGGCUCACGAGUGUCACAGUCUAAGGAAAAACACUGCCUCUGCAGUCAGCUUGGUUUGGCUUUGGAUGAGACAAACGGGUCUGGUGGGUUUGGACCCCCAGAGGUCCCAUCCAACAUCCUCCAUUCGGUGAUAUGGCAAUCCUGGUACAGCAUCUCCCGUUCCUAGAGCAUCCCGCCCAUGGGUCCCAGGGCUUACAGUCUGCUCCAGCACUCACAGCCAUGGACAUCCCUGUUCCCCAGCAGCUCUGGGACUGGAUCUUCUCCGUCAGCUCACCCCAAGCAGUCACCAAACCCACACAGGACCAUUCAUAUCCCUUGUGAUGGAAAACCUGCUCCUCUAACAGCAGCAGACAGGCGGGAGAAAGCCCUUGGGCUUUAAUUGCUGCAGAAAGGCAGCCAGAAGUACUGCAGAGAUAAAUAGACCGAAGCGAUGCUUGGUUAUCUGAAAGCUUCAGCUUUGCUCUUUUCCAGAAGAAUAAGCAUCAUCCUUAGCUAUAAAGUAGCUCUCAGCUCCUUAAAUGCUGUGGAUCCUUCUGUUCUAUGACAGAUUUUGGUGAACCAGGUUCAGUGCAUCUUUAUCAACCUCUGGUGAUGCUUUUCUCCUUCAGCCUGCGAAGGCUUGAAGCAGCAGUGAACAUCCAUGGGCUGAAAACUACAACCUGGAGAUGGGCUACUGACU